GGUCGGAUGGUGUAGUUGGUCAUCACGUCAGUCUAACACACUGAAGGUCCCCGGUUCAAACCCGGGUCCGAUCA